AGCAGCCGCGGUAAUUCCAGCUCCAAUAGCGUAUAUUAAAGUUGUUGCAGUUAAAAAGCUCGUAGUUGAAUUUCGGGAUCAGUACGCUGGUCGUGCCUUUGGUAUGUACUGGUGUCACUGAUUCCUCCCUUCUGAAGAACCGUUAUGCCAUUUAUUUGGUGUGGCGGGGAAUCAGGACUGUUACUUUGAAAAAAUUAGAGUGUUUAAAGCAGGCUCGCGCUUGAAUACAUUAGCAUGGAAUAAUGAAAUAGGACGUUUGAUCUUAUUUUGUUGGUUUCUAGGAUCGACGUAAUGAUUAAUAGGGAUAGUUGGGGGCAUUAGUAUUCAAUUGUCAGAGGUGAAAUUCUUGGAUUUAUUGAAGACUAACUACUGCGAAAGCAUUUGCCAAGGAUGUUUUCAUUAAUCAAGAACGAAAGUUAGGGGAUCGAAGACGAUCAGAUACCGUCGUAGUCUUAACCAUAAACUAUGCCGACUAGGGAUCGGAUGGUGUUAUUUUUAAUGACUCAUUCGGC
rnacentral:rRNA from 1 species